rnacentral:rRNA from 1 species
GACGAACGCUGGCGGCGUGCUUAACACAUGCAAGUCGAACGGACAGGCCCUGCUUUUGUGGGGUGCUCGAGUGGCGAACGGGUGAGUAACACGUGAGUAACCUGCCCUUGACUGUGGGAUAACUUCACGAAACUGCGGCUCAUACCGGAUAGGAUCUCCUGCUCCAUGGUGUGGGUUGGAAAGUUUCGGCGGUUGGGGAUGGACUCGCGGCUUAUCAGCUUGUUGGUGGGGUAGUGGCUUACCAAGGAUAUGACGGGUAGCCGGCCUGAGAGGGUGACCGGCCACAUUGGGACUGAGAUACGGCCCAGACGCAUACGGGAGGCAGGAGUGGGGAAUAUGGCACAAUGGGCGGAAGCAUGAUGCAGCAACGCCGCGUGCGGGAUGACGGCCUUCGGGUUGUAACCCGCUUUCGCCUGUGACGAAGCGUGAGUGACGGUAAUGGGUAAAGAAGCACCGGCUAACUCCGU